GACGCUGUGGCUCAGUAGUGGAGCACUUGCCUUGCAUGCAAGAGGCCCUGGGUUUGUUCCCCAGAAUCACCA
rnacentral:tRNA from 1 species